UACGUAGGGGGCGAGCGUUGUCCGGAUUUAUUGGGCGUAAAGAGCGUGUAGGCGGCCCGAUAAGUCCGCCGUGAAAGUCCAGGGCUCAACCCUGGAAUGCCGGUGGAAACUGUCGGGCUGGAGUCCGGAAGAGGCGAGUGGAAUUCCUGGUGUAGCGGUGAAAUGCGCAGAUAUCAGGAGGAACACCAAUGGCGAAGGCAGCUCGCUGGGACGGUACUGACGCUGAGACGCGAAAGCGUGGGGAGCAAACAGG
rnacentral:rRNA from 1 species